GUCUGGGCGCAGUGGUUUAUCGAUCUCUUCCUUGCCUUGUGCUGGUCCGGCCGGGAGUGGUGGUUCAAGCGUUUUAUUGUUGCAGCAGCUCGCAAACAACGCGGGAAUCGGUCGAUAAACCUCUGCAUCCAGC
rfam:Zea mays cultivar B73 chromosome 5, whole genome shotgun sequence.